UUUCAACCAGUUUUCUCCAUACUGUCCAGUUUUCUCCCUCAUCAAAAAACAAAACAACUAAAUACCUGGUAGCGAAUUGGCAAUGACAAAUCUGCUCUUAACCUCAGGAAUAAUGCCCAUGAGGCAGAAAACACCCUGGGUUUUGUGAACAUGGAGGUCAACACUGUCCGAAUAAGAGUGCAGGUAAAGGAGCCGAUCUUGAGGGUUCAUAGUCAUAGAGUAUUUGUUGAACUAGGAUGUUUGGAUGCUGUCACCUUACCACUCUUGCAAGUGACUCAAGUUUGCUGACUGUGGAAUGGUUGUCCCAAGAAAUCAUAAUUUCUGUGUCACCUUCUGUCUCUCCCUGAUAGUUAUACUGUCAUAGCUAGUCUCGCUGGAGCAUUUUGCGCAUAUUGUGCAUUGUCUUUAAUAAUCACAUGAUUACAAUCAUACUUAAUAUCUUCUUUGACGGCUUCUUCUUUCCGGACCUACCUGAUUCAUCCUGAUCCCUUAACUCUGGUUGGAGCCUCGUUGCUUGGUGGUGCACUUGGAUACUAUCAAGCCACCUUUGAACUGCCUUUGCAUUAGUCAGCUUUGUGCUCGGGUCUUCAUCAGGAAACAUUUGAAGACUUCAGCAGGAAAGAAUUAGUGUCUGUAAUGAAGUCUGUAAUGAUCUCAGACCCAGAUCUAUCAGUUCUGAAGGAGCACUUGAUGGCACAAUUCCACUUGACUACAAACUGCUACAGAAAGGACAUUAUUUACAUUUACAUAAUUCCCUGUCCAUUAUCACCCAAAUAAGGAUGGGUUCCCUUCUGAGCCUGGGUCCUUUCAA